rnacentral:rRNA from 1 species
GAAAGUAAUGAAGGGCGUACGGUGGAUGCCUAGGCUCUUACAGGCGAUGAAGGACGUGAUAAGCUGCGAAAAGCCGCGGUGAGGCGCAAAUGGCCCUUGACCCGCGGAUCUCCGAAUGGGACAACCCAAUAUCUUGAAGAGAUAUUAUCCCGCCGGUGCGGGAGGCGAACGCGGGGAACUGAAACAUCUUAGUACCCGCAGGAAAAGAAAAUAAAGAAUGAUUCCCCCAGUAGUGGCGAGCGACCGGGGAAGAGCCCAAACCGACGUUGUCUCGGCAUCGUCGGGGUUGUAGGACCGCGCCAUCGCAAGAAAGGCCGUGAGUGGAAGCGACUGGAAAGCCGCGCCAUAGAGGGUGACAGCCCCUUACACGAAGCAGCCUGAAGCGUAGCGGACUCCUGAGUAGCGCGGGACACGAGUAAUCCUGUGUGAAUCCGCCGGGCCCAUCCGGCAAGGCUAAAUACUCGUAAGAGACCGAUAGUGAACCAGUACCGUGAGGGAAAGGUGAAAAGGACCCCUUGCAGGGGAGUGAAAGAGUUCCUGAAACCGUACGCCUACAAGCGGUCGGAGCAUCUUGAAUGAUGUGACGGCGUGCCUUUUGCAUAAUGAACCUACGAGUUGCCGUCACCAGCGAGGUUAAGUGCGACGACGCACCGAGCCGCAGCGGAAGCGAGUCUUAAAAGGGCGCGAUAGUUGGUGGAGGCAGACGCGAAACCGAGUGAUCUACACUUGUCCAGGAUGAAGUCCCGGUAACACGGGAUGGAGGUCCGCACCAAUAAGCGUUGAAAAGCUUCUGGAUGAGGUGAGUGUAGGAGUGAAAGGCCAAUCAAACUCGGAGAUAGCUCGUACUCCCCGAAAGGCAUUUAGGUGCCGCCUGUGGCGUUCCCGACGUGAGGUAGAGCGACUGAUAGGAUGCGAGGGCUUCACCGCCUAUCAAGUCCUGACAAACUCCGAAUGCACGUCGGCCAAGCCAUGGAGUAAGGGCAUGGGUGCUAAGGUCCGUGCCCGAGAGGAGAAGAAUCCAGACCACCGGCUAAGGUCCCGAAAUACUGGUUAAGUUAGACUAACGCAGUCCGGCCCCCAAGACAGCUAGGAUGUUGGCUUGGAAGCAGCCAUUCAUUCAAAGAGUGCGUAACAGCUCACUAGUCGAGGAGCUGGGCGUGGAUAAUAAUCGGGUAUAAAACCAGUUACCGAAGCCGUGGGAUGCUCAAGCAUCGGUAGGGGAGCAUUGCAUGCGGCUUGGAAGGCGGGGCGCGAGCCCCUCUGGAGCGCAUGGAAACGCAAAUGUAGGUAUAAGUAACGACAAGGGGGGUGGGAUGCCCCCCCGCCGAAAGACCAAGGUUUCCUGAACAACGCUAAUCGGUUCAGGGUCAGUCGGGUCCUAAGCAUAAGCCGUAUGGCGAGGGCGAUGGAUGAAACGGUUAAUAUUCCGUUACUGUCUUGGUGUGUGACGCGGCGACGGAGUAGUGACACGGCCGCCUCCUGACGGAAAAGGGGGUUGAAGCGCAAAGGUGUCGAGGAAGGCAGGCAAAUCCACCUUCCGAGCCGAAGCGCGAUAGUACGCUGCGCCCUUUGGGGCAAGGCGAUAGUGCCGGUAAUCAGACUUCCAAGAAAACCCGCUAAACUUCAGCACCAAGUCACCCGUACUCCAAACGGACACACGUGGUCGGGUAGAAUAUACUAAGGCGCUUGGGAGAUUCACGGUUAAGGAACUAGGCAAAUUGACCCCGUACCUUCGGAAUAAGGGGUCCUCGCUUUUGCGAGGCGCAGAGAAUAGGUCCAGGCAACUGUUUAACAAAAACACAGGGCUGUGCCAAUUUGAAAGAAGAAGUAUACAGCCUGACACCUGCCCGGUGCCGGAAGGUUAAGAGGAGAGCUCAUCAGCGAUGAGAAGGCUUGAAUUGAAGCCCCGGUAAACGGCGGCCGUAACUAUAACGGUCCUAAGGUAGCGAAAUUCCUUGUCGGGUAAGUUC